AAUGAACGUUGGCGGCGUGGAUUAGGCAUGCAAGUCGUACGGUAGUAGCAAUACUAUAGUGGCGAAAGGGAUAGGACUGCAUAGAUUAUCUGCCCUCGGGACGAGGAUAGCUAAGGGAAACUUUAGGUAAUACUCGAUAACAUCUCCGGAUCAAAGGUGUGAUUCCGCCCGAGGAUGAGUCUAUGUCCUAUUAGCUAGUUGGCGGGGUAAUGGCCCACCAAGGCUUAGAUGGGUACGGGGCGUGAGAGCGUGACCCCGAUCACUGGGACUGAGACACUGCCCAGACACCUACGGGUGGCUGCAGUCGAGAAUCUUCGGCAAUGGGCGAAAGCCUGACCGAGCGACGCCGCGUGUGUGAUGAAGGCCUUCGGGUUGUAAAGCACUGUAAGUUGGGAGGAAAUGCAUGGGGGCUAUCCCCUGUGUUUGACCUAUCUUCAAAGUAAGGACGGGCUAAGUUCGUGCCAGCAGCCGCAGUAAGAC
rnacentral:rRNA from 1 species